rnacentral:rRNA from 1 species
GCCCGCUACAGAAACUCAAAGGAAGUUGACGGGGGCCCGCACAAGCGGAGGAGCAUGUGGUUUAAUUCGAUGAUACGCGAGGAACCUUACCUGGGCUCGAACGUAAGAUGACUGUAGGUGAAAGCUUACAUCUCUUCGGAGCAUUUUACGAGGUGCUGCAUGGUUGUCGUCAGCUCGUGCCGUGAGGUGUCGGGUUAAGUCCCAUAACGAGCGCAACCCCUACCUUUAGUUGCCAUCAGGUUAAGCUGGGGACUCUAAAGGAACUGCCUACGCAAGUAGUGAGGAAGGCGGGGAUGACGUCAAAUCAGCACGGCCCUUACGUCCAGGGCUACACACGUGCUACAAUGGCCGAUACAGAGGGCAGCUACCUGGUGACAGGAUGCAAAUCUCCAAAGUCGGUCUCAGUUCGGAUCGGAGUCUGCAACCCGACUCCGUGAAGUUGGAUUCGCUAGUAAUCGCGCAUCAGCCAUGGCGCGGUGAAUACGUUCCCGGGCCUU